rnacentral:rRNA from 1 species
CAAAUCUUAGCGGUGGAUCACUCGGUUCGUGGAUCGAUGAAGAACGCAGCUAGCUGCGAUAAAUAGUGCGAAUUGCAGACACAUUGAGCACUAAAAAUUCGAACGCAC